UACUCCUACGGGAGGCAGCAGUGGGGAAUAUUGCACAAUGGGCGCAAGCCUGAUGCAGCGACGCCGCGUGAGGGAUGACGGCCUUCGGGUUGUAAACCUCUGUUAGCAGGGAAGAAGAGAAAUUGACGGUACCUGCAGAGAAAGCGCCGGCUAACUACGUGCCAGCAGCCGCGGUAAUACGUAGGGCGCGAGCGUUGUCCGGAAUUAUUGGGCGUAAAGAGCUUGUAGGCGGUUUGUCGCGUCUGCUGUGAAAGGCCGGGGCUUAACCCCGUGUAUUGCAGUGGGUACGGGCAGACUAGAGUGCAGUAGGGGAGACUGGAACUCCUGGUGUAGCGGUGGAAUGCGCAGAUAUCAGGAAGAACACCGAUGGCGAAGGCAGGUCUCUGGGCUGUAACUGACGCUGAGAAGCGAAAGCAUGGGGAGCGAACAGGAUUAGAUACCCUGGUAGUCCAUGCCGUAAACGUUGGGCACUAGGUGUGGGGGACAUUCCACGUUUUCCGCGCCGUAGCUAACGCAUUAAGUGCCCCGCCUGGGGAGUACGGCCGCAAGGCUAAAACUCAAAGGAAUUGACGGA
rnacentral:rRNA from 1 species